GACGUAGGGCGCGAGCGUUGUCCGGAUUUAUUGGGCGUAAAGAGCUCGUAGGCGGCUUGUUACGUCGACUGUGAAAACCCGCGGCUCAACCGUGUGGUCUGCAGUCGAUACGGGCAGGCUAGAGUUCGGUAGGGGAGACUGGAAUUCCUGGUGUAGCGGUGAAAUGCGCAGAUAUCAGGAGGAACACCGGUGGCGAAGGCGGGUCUCUGGGCCGAUACUGACGCUGAGGAGCGAAAGCGUGGGGAGCGAACAGGAUUAGAAACCCCCGUAGUCC
rnacentral:rRNA from 1 species